rnacentral:rRNA from 1 species
UGAAUACGAGACGCUAAGGCGUCGAAGUAGUGUAUGUCAUACUUCCAAGAAAAGCUUGCACUGUCAUAGAUAAAAAACGCCUGUACCAUAACCGACACAGGUGGGUAGGUAGAGUAUACUAAGGGGCGCGAGAUAACUCUCUCUAAGGAACUCGGCAAAAUAACUCCGUAACUUCGGGAGAAGGAGUGCCUUAUUCGUAAGGUUGCAAUAACAAGAUCCAAGCAACUGUUUAUCAAAAACACAGGUCUCCGCUAAGUCGUAAGACGAUGUAUGGGGGCUGACGCCUGCCCAGUGCCAGAAGGUUAAAGAAGUUGGUUAGCAAUUGCGAAGCUGAUAACUGAAGCCCUGGUGAACGGCGGCCGUAACAAUAACGGUCCUAAGGUAGCGAAAUUCCUUGUCGGGUAAGUUCCGACCCGCACGAAAGGCGUAAUGAUUUGGAUACUGUCUCGGAGAGGGGCUCGGUGAAAUAGACUUGUCUGUGAAGAUGCGGACUACCUGCACCAGGACAGAAAGACCCUAUGAAGCUUUACUGUAACUUGAAAUUGAAAUUGGACUUUAUUCGCGCAGUAUAGGUGGGAGGCGUUGAUUAUAAUCUUGUGGGAUUAUUGGAGCCAUCAGUGAGAUACCACUCUUGUAAUGUUAGAUUUCUAACUUUGAAUCAUUAUCUGGUCAAAGAACAGUUUCAGGCGGGCAGUUUGACUGGGGCGGUCGCCUCCUAAACGGUAACGGAGGCGUACAAAGGUUUCCUCUGAACGGUUAGAAAUCGUAUCUAGAGUGUAAAGGCAUAAGGAAGCUUGACUGUGAGACCUACAAGUCGAGCAGGGACGAAAGUCGGUCUUAGUGAUCUGACGGUACUGAGUGGAAAGGCCGUCACUCAACGGAUAAAAGUUACUCUAGGAUAACAGGCUGAUCUCCCCCAAGAGUUCACAUCGACGGGGAGGUUUGGCACCUCGAUGUCGGCUCAUCGCAUCCUGGGGCGGUAGUACGUCCCAAGGGUUGGGCUGUUCGCCCAUGAAAGCGGUACGCGAGCUGGGUUCAGAACGUCGUGAGACAGUUCGGUCCAUAUCCGGUGUAGGCGCUAGAAUAUUGAGAGGAGCCUUCUUUAGUACGAGAGGACCGAGAAGGACAUACCUCUGGUGUACCAGUUAUCGUGCCAACGGUAAACGCUGGGUAGCUAUGUAUGGAGUGGAUAACCGCUGAAAGCAUCUAAGUGGGAAGCCCAUCUCAAGAUAAGUAUUCUCACC